CCCCACCACACCCACACCCACAUCUCCAUCUUCUUUUUGUUGAUUUCAGCUCAAACCGAAGGAAUCUGUUUGAUUGGUUAACAACCUGGGGACAAAUAUCAUUGAUUAGGGGUUGUAGGCACGUUAUCAAACAUGAAGGUGAUUGCCUGAACAUCCAAACAAAUCCCUCGGGUCUAAUAGACUAGGGUUUAUGUGUUAUUCCUGUUGAUAAUUUUGAUCUUGAUCUCGGUGAUUAUAAUUGUGAAACUGAGGUCAGGAUCUGUCAUUUUCUUUCUCUCUAUACUCUGUUUCGCUUUGAUUUUAGUAAGGACUCGAAGAUUCGGAAGGGCCAUCAAAGACAGUUCCACUCAAAGUUCUUCAAAGAUAAAGAACGCUGCUACAAGGAGAAUUGUUGCAGGAGAGCAUGGAUGCAAUAACGGCCAAACACGCAUUCCUCCUGUUUACAUCAUAUCCACGAAGUCGUGCUCCCAAGUUGGCAUUUCGAUUUCCAAUACUGUGAUUAAAAGAAGGGUCGAAGAGUUUCAGAUAAAGUUGAUUCCGACGAGGUCCCGUUUCGCUCCCAAGGCUUCUUUCAUAGUCUUUCUAUUUAAUUCCAACCUUUGUAGCAGAGAUGGAAGUUUAGAAUUUCAAUUUUUUAUAUUUGUGGGGAAGCACCUGCAAAUUGGGAGGAAGUCCUUGAAGAUGCACCAGUAGAUGCUACAGGAUGACAAAAAUCUGGGGAGUUUUCAUCCACCAAAGAUGGUGAUUUAUUAUGGUAGCUUGAAAGUGAUUCAUGGGGUUUCUUUUUGAAGCUCCAAACUUUAUAAAGGUGGAGUGGGUCUGUGCUUUGAGCUAUCACUAAAGAAGAACAACCAUUAAGGUGAAAGAGAUACUUUCUUUGUAUGAGGCUUCUAGCAAUUCAAAGAAACAAGAGAAAUGCAGAAUAUACAGAAGGAGAGACGGCAAAGUUUGGAUAUGCUCAUAAGCAGUAGUAGCAGCAGCAACAACAGUACUUACCAGAUCAACCUAGAGCUGUUAUUGCCUGUAUCAGAUGUGCUACAUCACUUGCAAAUGCAGAUCAACUGAAAACAUUAAAGUUUGGGUUUUCUUCGAAAGUGGGUUCAUCUAAGGUAUUUAAAAAUGCACAAAAUUAUGAAGGUGGAUAUUUUAACAUCCUUAACUCUUUGAAAGAUAUCAUCCCAAAGAAGCUUGGCCUGAAAAUGCACAAAAUUAUGAGAGUAUAAUCUAUAACACUGUUUGAUGUUCCUUAUGAAGUGAGUCUUCUGGAGCUUUAUUUCUUUGUAGUGUCCUUCUUUUUGGAUAUAAAAAGCAUCUUUUAAUGUCUAACUCGAUCUUUUCGGUAUUUCUCGAUAUACUAUAGCGAAGAAUGGUAGAAGAGUUAUUUCUAACUGAAACCAUGGUACAGGAGUUGAGAAUGUUAGAAGAGGCAUGUUAGUCAGUUCUUAGUUAUAAUGUUAGUCACAGAGAAAAGCAAAGUUUCUAGCUGUAGAUGGGGCAAAACGAGUUGCUGGUUUUUACGGAAUUGAGGAGACGAACGUGCGGAGGAAACUCCUUGAACCGAGCGAACUGUUAAACCUCACACAGAUGCACUGCAAGAAGGGAGUGCUUUGAAUUUGAGAGAUCAAUCUGUAGUACUCCGGCCUAAACCAAGACAAUGACCGUUCCAGAGUAAAUCCGGUCACAAGAGAGGAUGGGUCGAUCUGUAGGAGGGAAGCUGAAAAAUGUGUGAGAUCAAUGGUAAUCGAAGAUUGCAGAUGUGUUGUGUAUUCUGAAAAUAAGAUAAGUUCUGAAUGAUUGAAUUUUUCUCUGUUGAGAAUAAUUGCUUAGACGUUGAGAUGUUGAUCUCGUGUUGUCUGUUUGACGUAAGAUUGUCUUAUUUUCAAUCAUGAUUCAAAGACUUAUUUA